UUAAAUUGAAGAGUUUGAUCAUGGCUCAGAUUGAACGCUGGCGGCAGGCCUAACACAUGCAAGUCGAACGGUAACAGGAAUCAGCUUGCUGCUUCGCUGACGAGUGGCGGACGGGUGAGUAAUGUCUGGGAAACUGCCUGAUGGAGGGGGAUAACUACUGGAAACGGUAGCUAAUACCGCAUAAUGUCGCA
rnacentral:rRNA from 1 species